rnacentral:lncRNA from 1 species
UAUUUUUAUUUAUGAAUUUCUUGCCUUUCAGGCUCCUAAUGUACACAGAUGGACUCUCAUCUAACUCUUCACAGUAAAAUAAUAUUUUCCUGGAAUUGGCAAGCUAAUAUAGAACCUAAUAAGAAAGUGUACCAGAUGCUUGAUGACUUUUCCAAUGUAUCAGAGAUACACAAAGCAUAUUUUAAGCACAAUCUCAGCCUCGUGCCCAACAGAAAUUUGCAAUCAGAUUUCAUGACACCAGAAUUCAACACCAAAAGAAAAAAAAACUAUGAGUUUGUGAAAUUCUGGUAAGGGUUACCCUGCUACAAAGCUCAAGCAAAGCAAAGAACAGCUUUAAUGUUCACCUUAGAGCAAUGCAGCAGCAACAACAGUAAUAUCAAUGUAUGGAUAUAAAUUUUUAUUCUGACACAAGUAAUUAUGAUUUAUGACCAAUAAUUUCUUAUGCUUGCCUUACAUGCUAUGGGUUAAAUGCAACUGAUAAUUCUUAAAAUGGAGUCAAAGUGUCAACUGAAUUUUAAAAUGGUAAAACAGAUAUAUCAUACUAAAACAGUUUAAGAAUCCACUGCACUUAAAUAUAAAAUCCUUAUAUCCAGGUUGAUGAUCAGAGAAUCGUUGUAGCAUCUGUGAAAUCACAUAGCAAGCAAUAUAUCCUAAUGGGC